AGAGUUGAUCAUGGCUCAGGACGAACGCUGGCGGCGUGCUUAACACAUGCAAGUCGAACGGGGAUAUGCGAGCGGAAGGCUUCGGCCGGAAGGUUGCAUAUUCGAGUGGCGGACGGGUGAGUAACGCGUGAACAAUCUGUCCCAGACAGGGGGAUAACACUUGGAAACAGGUGCUAAUACCGCAUAAGACCACGGAGUCGCAUGGCACUGGGGUAAAAGGAGCAAUCCGGUUUGGGGUGAGUUCGCGUCCGAUUAGCCAGUUGGUGAGGUAACGGCCCACCAAAGCGACGAUCGGUAGCCGACCUGAGAGGGUGAUCGGCCACAUUGGAACUGAGAGACGGUCCAAACUCCUACGGGAGGCAGCAGUGGGGAAUAUUGGGCAAUGGGCGAAAGCCCUGACCCAGCAACGCCGCGUGAGUGAAGAAGGCCUUCGGGUUGUAAAGCUCUGUUAUAGGGGACGAAGGAAGUGACGGUACCCUAUAAGGAAGCCCCGGCUAACUACGUGCCAGCAGCGGC
rnacentral:rRNA from 1 species